rnacentral:rRNA from 1 species
UACGAAGGGGGCUAGCGUUGCUCGGAAUCACUGGGCGUAAAGGGUGCGUAGGCGGGUCUUUAAGUCAGGGGUGAAAUCCUGGAGCUCAACUCCAGAACUGCCUUUGAUACUGAAGAUCUUGAGUUCGGGAGAGGUGAGUGGAACUGCGAGUGUAGAGGUGAAAUUCGUAGAUAUUCGCGAGAACACCAGUGGCGAAGGCGGCUCACUGGCCCGAUACUGACGCUGAGGCACGAAAGCGUGGGGAGCAAAAGGG